GGGCAGGUGGCGGAGUGGUUGAACGCUCCGGUCUUGAAAACCGGCAUACCGGCAACGGUAUCGUGGGUUCGAAUCCCACCCUGCCCG
rnacentral:tRNA from 1 species